rnacentral:tRNA from 1 species
GUGGCUCAGUGGUAGAGCAUUUGCCUUGCAUGCAUGAGGCCCUGGGUUUGAUUCCCCAGC